CUUUAUGAUCGUGACAAAAAGACUAUCACACCUUUUGUUAUCAGUUUGAAUUGAGGUGCUCAUGUCAUUUUGAAAGAUACCAUUCCGAAAUAUUGAAUCAGCUGCUAUUUAUUUAUUCAAAAUAGUGAAUUAAAAAAGAGGGCCAUGAAGGCCCUGUAUUGCUCACCUGACCUAUUGACCUAAAGAUCAUCAAGAUCAACAUUCUGACCAAGUUUCAUUAAGAUAUGGUCAUAAAUGUAGCCUCUAAAGUGUUAACUAGCUUUUCCUUUGAUUUGACCUGGUGACCUAGUUUUUGCCCCCACAUGACCCAGAUUUAAACUUGACCUAAAGAUCAUCAAGAUUAACAUUCUGACUAAGUUUCAUGAAGAUAUAGUCAUAAAUGUGGCCU